rnacentral:rRNA from 1 species
ACAGGUGGUGCAUGGUUGUCGUCAGCUCGUGUCGUGAGAUGUUGGGUUAAGUCCCGCAACGAGCGCAACCCUCGACCUUAGUUGCCAGCAUUCAGUUGGGCACUCUAGCGAGACUGCCGGUAAUAACCGGAGGAAGUGGGGAUGACGUCAAAUCAUCAUGCCCCUUAUGACCUGGGCUACACACGUGCUACAAUGGUUGGUACAACGAGUUGCGAGUCGGUGACGGCGAGCUAAUCUCUUAAAGCCAAUCUCAGUUCGGAUUGUAGGCUGCAACUCGCCUACAUGAAGUCGGAAUCGCUAGUAAUCGCGGAUCAGCACGCCGCGGUGAAUACGUUCCCGGGCCUU